ensembl:lncRNA
UUUUUUUUUUUUUUGUAUUUUCUAGGGCCACACCCGCGGCAUAUGGAGGUUCCCAGGCUAGGGGUCGAAUCGGAGCUGUAGCUGCUGGCCUUCACCAGAGCCACAGCAACUUGGGAUCCGAGCCAUCUCUGCAACCUACAUCACAACUCGUGGCACCGCCAGAUCCUUAACCCACUGAGCAAGGCCAGGGAUCGAACCCGCAACCUCAUGGUUCCUAGUCGGAUUCGUUAACCACUGUGCCAUGAUGGGAACUCCCUCUAUUUCUUAUAAUACACAAAAACUAAUUUCAAGUAGAUGAAGGACCUAAAUAAAAAUGCAAGGAUAUAACAUUUCCAGGAGACAAUAUAGGAGAAUACUUUUCUGAUACCGAGGUAGGAAAGGAUUUCUUUCUUUUUUUCUUCUUCAACUGCUCCCUAAGUAUAUGGAAAUUCCUGGGCCGAGGAUCAAACCCACACCACCAGAGACAAUGCUGGGUCUUUAACCCACUGUGCCACAGUGGGAACGCCCAAGGAUUUUUAAACAAGAUACAAAAAAGCAUGUACCAUAAAGAAAAACAGUUGUGGUAAAUUUGACGUACAAGAACUAAAAACUUCAGUUCAUUAAAAGAUACCACGAGGAAACAUUUUCUUAAAUAUAUUUUGUGUAAUAUUUUAUUUGUAUACACUGUUCAUGACAAAGUAUUUAAAGCAUGAUAUUUUAUGUGGCAACAUGUAACAUAAGCUAAAUGCUAUUUUUGAAUUUUAAAAUUUGGUUUUUUUAACUACUAGAAUUGAUAAAAUUCUGCCAAACUGUUGCUUAUAUAUAUGCUAUCUUGUAACAUGCUUUCUUUAAAUAUGUUUGUGUUAUAGAGAUGAAGAGUCUUAUAAGAUAUAUAUAAUACUGGAUACUGUAAGAUGAUGGAAAUAAAAUCACUGUAUUUAAAAAAAAAAAAAAAAAAAAAGAUACCACAGGGAAAGUGAACUGAUACAGGGCAAACUGGGAGAAGACAUUUAUAACACAUGAUCUAUAAAGGUUUAGUAUCCAGAAUAUAGAAGGAACACCUUUGAAUCAAUUCCCUUCCUUUUUAAUUGAGGUAUAACUGAUCUUUAACACUAUAUUAGUUCCAGGUGUAACAUAACUUGAUAUUUGUAUAUAUUGUGAAAUGAUUGUCACAGUAAGUCUAGUUAACAUCUGUCAUCACACAGUUAUGAAAAAAAUUUUUUCGUGUGAUGAUCACUAAAUCAAUUUUCUCAAAAAGAAGAAAUAACCCAACAGGAAAGGGGGCAAAAAUCAUAAUAAUUGCAAGCAUGAAAUUAUGUUUAAUCUUACUAGCAAUUAAGAAAAUGCUUAUUAAAACUACAAUGACAUACCAUAGCACACCCACCAGCCUGGCAAAAAUUUAAACUCAGAAAACAAGAAUGUGUUGCAAUGGGAAUGUUCAUACACUGAUGGGGACCUUGGAACACAGAUUAGUUUUACAUAGUAGAAGUGAGCCUACACCCAGCAAUUCCUCUGCUGGAGAUGUAUAAGGUUUAGGAUCUAAACAAUAAACUCGUGGAGUUCCCUUGUGGCACAAUGGGUUAAGGGUCUGGCAUUGUCACUGUAGUGGCCAGGGUCACUGCUGUGGCACAGGUUUGAUCCCUCGCCCAGGAACUUCCACAGGCUGUGGGCCUGGCCGAUAAACAAACAACCAAUAAACUCAUGUGGGCCAUGCACAGGAAUGUUUAUAGCCGCAUAAUUCGUAGCUGUGAAGCACUAGAAACAGCCCAGCUGUCCAUCUGAUUCCAUUUAUGUAAAGUCCCCAACCAGGCGAAAUGAAACAAUGUAUUGUUUACUGCUGCAUUCAUAAGGGAUGAAAAACUACAAAGAAACACAAAGGAAUAUUUUCAAUUCAAAAUUUUGGAUAAUACUCAGUGAGGGUGGGAGAGUAUGAGGGGGAAGACUGAUCAGGCCUCACAGGGAGCUUCUGGAAGGGAUUAAUAGUCUAUUUCCUCCCCCGAGUAGAAUGCCCAUGGUUGUUCAUCUUACUGCUGUUUUUGUACACAUCAUUCCAUCAUCCACUGUUCCAUCUAUUCUUUUUUAAUGUACCAUAAUUAAUUUUUUCUUUUUACUUUUUUUGGGGGCCAUGUCGGCACCAUGUGGAAAUUCGAACCCUCGCCAAAGCAGGAUCCUUCACCCACUGCACCACCAGGGAACUCAAAUAUUUAAUUGUGACAGUUGGAUUGACGAGAAAGUUUUCAGAAUAAGAGAAACGUAAGAUCACUCGAACCUCUGCCAAGUGGAGAUCAAGAACGAAUAUACACUUAGGAAAGAAAAAAAGCUGAAGUCAAUAGAAAAAUCUAUUACAUAAAGUAUUGAACUAUUACUUGUUCCUUGAUUGAUACGCUUCUUAUUUUGUUCCCAUUAAAAAAUAUAAAGCAUCCUUCAGAUGAUAGGCAACAUUCAAUUCCCAAGUAUGGAUUGAUUAUUGAUUGCAAGAAAGACUUCGCACUUAGAAGGAAAAAACUUCUAAGAAAUACAAGACUAUUACUGUCUAAAAGCUAAAAAUAUUUUUCAUAUACUAUCACAAGAAUAGAAUAAUUUCUUGCAAAUAAAAUGUUUAUGGAGGAGUUCCUUUUGUGGCUCAGUGGUUAACGAACCCGACUAGUAUCCAUGAGGAUGCGGGUUUGAUCCCUGGCCCUGCUCAGUGGGUUGAGGAAACGGCGUUGCCGUGAGGUGUAGUGGCUUGGAUCCCACGUUACUGUGGCUGUGGUGUAGGCCAGCAGCUGUAACUCUGAUUAGACCCCCUAGCCUGGGAACCUCCAUAUGCUGCGGGUGCGGCCCUAAAAAGCAAACAAACAAACAAAAAUGUUUAUGGAGGUUAAGAGAACACAAACUAUUAUAGUAAGUAAGCAACAUAUGCUGUUUCUUCUCUAUGCCAAAAUCACAUUCAUCUAGUAAUAGUGUGUUGAAUACCUACUAUGUGUCUAACACUAUUCUAGGAAGGAAGGGCAGGGCAGCAAAGAGAAAGCAUAAAGUUUCUAUUCUCAUGGAACUUAUAUACGUGUAGAUCUUUCCUGUACAAAGCUACAAAGAAAUCUCAGAAAGAUUAAUUCAAAAUUAAUUUGUUUACAUUCCCAGGAGAAGAACUACUAGGUCUCCAGCGAGGAACA